rnacentral:rRNA from 1 species
UCGCCUGUUUAUCAAAAACAUAGUUCUAUGGUAUAUAUAUAGAAUAAAACCUGCCCAGUGUAUUAUAAUUAUAAAUGGCCGCAGUACCUUGACUGUGCUAAGGUAGCAUAAUCAAUUGGCUUUUAAUUAAAGUCUAGAAUGAAUGGGACUAUGAAAUAUAGCUGUCUUAAUUAUAAUAAAUAUAACUUAUUUAUAAGGUGAAAAUACCUUUACAUACAAUAAAGACGAGAAGACCCUAUGAGUUUUUAAUAGAAAAUUAAAUAUUAAUUUAUAUUUUUUGUUGGGGCGACAUGUGAACAUUUAAACUUCACUAAUAUUAUUUAUCGAUUAUAAUAAACAUAUCAAAACUACCUUAGGGAUAACAGCAUAAUUUAUUAAUUAAGUUUGUGACCUCGAUGUUGGACUAAGGAACUAUAUAGCUAACCGUUAAAAUAGAUUUGUUCUGUUCGAACAAUACAAUCCUACGUGAUCUGAGUUCAGACCGGA